rnacentral:rRNA from 1 species
AUGCAAGUCGAAGAAGGAUUGGCCGGUGCUACCGGCUGGCGCAAGUUCGAUCCCACAGAUCAGGAGCUGAUCGAGCACCUUGAGGCCAAAGUGAGUGCUGACAGCGCGAGAUUCCAAUCUCUCAUCGAUUUGUUCAUACCAACCAUUGACAGCGAGCACGACAUAUGCUACACCCAACCUGAGAAACUUCCAGCAAAAAAGGUUCUGGUGCUGCACACCAGCAAGAACUUCGACCGGCAGAGGACCAACUGGGUGAUGCACCAGUACCACCUCGGGGACCUGGAGCAAGAGAAGGAGCGGGAGUUGGUCCUCUGCAAGAUUUUCUACCACACGAACACUAGGGCCAGGAGUCGGGCAAGUUUCAACUGGGCUGUAGACUGCCCAGGGUUGGUUUUGUUUUUAACAGGCCCAGCCCAUGACGACAACGGGGCACAAAGAUCCAGCAGCACUAUCAUAGAGCUGGAAGCCACGGGUGUCAGCGAGGUCUCUGCGGACCCGUGCGAGCUCGUGUACAUGCCAGCGCCAGCGCCCAUGCCCGUGCCUAUGCGCGCCCCUCCACCCACUGUGGCGUGGGCACCCGUGCGUUUCGCUGCACCCGCCACGCCCGUGCCCCUGCCCGUGCACGCCCCUCCACCCACCGCGGUGCCGGUCUCCAUGCGUUUGGUUGCACCCGCCGCACUCGUGUCCAUGCGUGCCCCUCUCAGCAGCAUGGGAUGCUGCCGUCGACCGCUACCUCUAAGAGGCGCCAACUUCAACAACGGCGUCCCGGAGGACGACAACGACAAUGACGGCACGGCAUGCCGCCUCCGGUGCCCUCAGAAAUAG